rnacentral:rRNA from 1 species
GACGGAGGAUGCAAGUGUUAUCCGGAAGUAUUGGGCGUAAAGGGUGCGUAGGUGGUCAGACAAGUACCAUGUCAAAGCAUGGUGCUUAACGCCAUAAAGGCGUGGGAAACUGUCAGACUAGAGUACAGCAGGGGCAGGAGGAAUGCCCGGUGUAGCGGUGAAAUGCGUAGAUAUCGGGAAGAACACCAGUGGCGCCAGCGUUCUGCUGGGCUGUAACUGACACUGAGGCACGAAAGCUCGGGGAGCGAAAGGG